GAGGGUGUAGCUCAGUGGUAGAGUGCGUGCUUAGCACGCACGAGGUCCUGGGUUCAGUCCCCAGUACCUCCA
rnacentral:tRNA from 1 species